rnacentral:rRNA from 1 species
UACCAGCACCCCGAGUGGUCGGGACGUUUAUUGGGCGUAAAGAGCUCGUAGGCGGCUCAGUAAGUCGGGUGUGAAAUUUCAGGGCUCAACCCUGAAACGCCACCCGAUACUGCUGUGGCUAGAGUCCGGUAGGGGAGCGUGGAAUUCCAGGUGUAGCGGUGAAAUGCGUAGAUAUCUGGAGGAACACCGGUGGCGAAGGCGGCAUCCUGGACCGGCAUUGACGCUGAGGCGCGAAAGCCAGGGGAGCAAACGGG